rnacentral:sRNA from 1 species
UGACCCUUAUUAAGCCGAGGGUCACCUAGCCAACUGACGUUGUUAGUGAACCUAAUUUGUUCACACUAAAAUACAGCCAAUCACACCGUUGUGAUUGGCUUUUCUUUU